rnacentral:tRNA from 1 species
AAAUGCAUUAGAAUUAGAAUCUAAUUA